AAGAUUGGCAACAGUUGUUAGCUCAGGUGCCGAUCUUAAAAAAAACCAAAAAACAAAAAACCUAAGAGAGUUGUUCUUCCUUAUAACAUUAGCCUAUGUCUGUCUUUGAAAACUAUGAAUUUUUUCCUGAGGCUAAUUGGAAAAUUGCUACAUAUAAAGUUAGUCAUUUUGACCUUAAAAUGCUUAUGAACCUUACUUACAUUAUCAUGCCUCCUGUUGUCUAUAGUAACUGUGGAUUUAAAAGUUUAAUUUCCUUCCCUGUGUCAGUGGUUUUGAACUCUGCGUCAAGAUAGUUCCGGGGCAGAAGAAGACAAGACUUGUGUCACAGGUUGGCUUUCUGUCUAAAAGGCGGUUGGAAGAAAGAGAUUCCCUGAUUUAUUUUUUUUUAAAGAAAACCACUGCCAUAGGUUAAAAUUAAUGGUUAUACAGAAAAUCAAAGCUAGAUUAAUAAUGCUCAGAAAUAUGUGUGCAUGCCUGUGUUUUGGGGGUGAGGGGAGAGAGAAGGAAAAGUCACGAACUAACCAUCAACUUUGCGGGGGCUAGAGCAGAAAGCUAAGAAGUUAAAGUUUUAAUUUUUCUCAUUUCUAUCGGCAACAUGUUUUAGAACAUUGAAAGCAAAAAUUGGACCAGCUUUAUUAUUUAGUCUAGAAUUUAGUUUUCAUUAUUAUUUAGUUGAUUAUUUAGUCUAGAAAACACCGUUUCUUAUGAAGAAUAAGUAUAGUUUAUUUUAUUCCUUUAGACAAGUCGACUGCUCCCCCAGGAGCUGGCAAACAGCGCUGUGGUGUGUGGACGCAAGGCUCUGCGUCGGAACCUCCUGGCUUUCUCUGCAAACCUCCCUGCCCUUUGGUUUGUAUAGUUUAGAAUGUCGUUUUGAUUACUAGAAAUCCAUUUCAGGUACCCUAGAAGACUUAGUUGCCACAUCAUCCCUCCUCUCCUGCAAAAAGCAACAAAAAAACCCAAACUGCUUUCCAUCGACAUCAGUGGUUGUCGGGCAGCUGGUAUUUUGCCCCCCAGGGGUCUUUGGCAGGGCCUGGAGAGGGUUCUGUGGGUCAUAUGGGGAGGGAGCGCUCCUGGCAUCUGGAGGACAGAGGCCCGUGGGCGCGAUGCACAGGCGCCUUGUCUUCCGCGAAGAAUUGUCUGACCCCAAAUGACAAGAGUUCCAAGGCUGAGAAACCCUGAUCUGAGGAGACCUAGCCAGUCUCGUCUUGUGUUGGGUGUCUGUUUGGCUGUCCGUUGUCCAAUGCAUUCUUUACUUUUUGAAAAAAAAAGGCAGCGUCCGUGAUCUCAGCAGAAAGACAGCCAUGUGUGUUGUUUCCAAGGAUGAGUCCUGCCCUCCUGCCCCGUCCUCUUAAAGUCAUGCAAUCAGAUCGCUCCAGGUCUGCUUGUGAGAAACAUGAACAGAACCCUUGUUUCCCUAAGCGGGAAGUACUGAUUAAGGAAUUUCUAAGUAGGGAGAAGAGCAGAGUCGUGAAUACCCCAAUAAAUGGCAAUUUGGGGUUUCCCGCUGUCCCUCUGUUGGCCUUUGCUGUGGGGUUGUUGGCAGUUCUCAUCUGAUCCUCAGUAAACAUGACUGCCCUGAUUCUUGGAAAAGCACAGACCAGUUUACAGUGAAUUCCACCACCUGCUCCAGUGUGAACGCCGGCGCGGCCAGCAAGCUGUGUUCUUAGGGGAUUCGAGGAGAGCCUUUGUGUUUGGUUCUCCCACAGAUGGCAGAUGAGUGUCAUUCGGGGAGUGCCCAGUAAAUAUUGGUGAUGGGCUGAUGUCAGGCCUGGGUGAGUGUCUUCCCUGACUCUGUCAUUCCUGUGACGGAGGCCAUGAUCAACCUUUUCUCCCCGUCCGCCCGGGCUACUCGAAUAGAAGCUUAGGAACAUAAGCAGUGAGCUUUUCAUUUCUGAGCAUUUGCAGGGAGAGAAUGCUUAGAAAAUUAAAAAUUGUGCUUCUUCAAAUUAACGAAAAGGGGUGUUCAAAACAGCCCACUGAGAACUAUUUGUCUAACUCGAAGUUGCUUGACCCUGUUUUGACAGCACGUGUGCCCUCAUCUCUGCCUCAUGGUGAGAACUUUUCGUCAGCUCUUGCAAAACAUUUUGACUACAGUGAAAGCUGAUCCAUCUUGUUGUGCUCACAUGGAUCGGGAGACAAAACCAUGUGAAAAUCUUGGUGCUGGAAAAGAAGCCCAGAUGGAUUGGGGUUUGCUUUUAAUUCUGAGUUCUAUCCAUGUAGGUCACGGUGUAUACACUGGAAAUGCAAGCUGUUUUUAACCCCAAAAGGUGGUUUAAACGCAUGUGCGAUUUGCAGAUCUGUUCCUCAACUUGUACAGUAGGGUUUUGAGUCUCAGUUCCAGAGAAGGGAUGACAGGCAAGCCCUAGCCCGAGGAGCAGGAAUGGGGUGGCAGGGGCGCCUGUCCCUUUUCACUUGGGGCCGCAGUGUGACGUGACCUCACCACUGUUGCCAGCCCUGGUACCGUAAAGGAAUGACUGUCCAGAGAUCAUUGCUGGGUCCUUUGAUCGAAAGGGCUGAUCUAGAAGAAAGAAGUCCCAGUCAGCCCGAGGAAUCAGGUAAUCAGAGAAACCGUACAGGCAGUGGGAUGCUCAGCUGCUGGCACGAAGGCAGAGUCCACUUGGGUAACAAAGCACCUUUUCCAGGUCAUCCAGUAGGACUGUAGCAACCGGGACCAACACUGGGCCCAUUAUACGAUCGGCUCUGUUCCUCGGGCUGGUUCUGCAGUUUGUAUCCUCUGCUCUUUCCUGCAUUGCAUUUGACUGUUAGCCAGCUUGGAGCUUAACGCCUUCCAAAGAUGUUGGUUUUCCUAAAGAGAUGUUAACACACUCUACCUGGGCGACAGCAAUUAAAAAGCAAGAGUGAUAAGUACCCCUGUGUCCUUCAUUCCCAUUUAGACCUUGAAAAAAUACUUUCCAUUUUAAUCAUAUCGUCGCUUGACUGAAGACUGGUGGCAUUCCAGAAUGGUGCUUCAGUUCUCAAACCCCUUACUGAUGGGCGGGAGUCAGCAGCCAGAAAUUACCAGUGACUUCCCCCGCCUUGGACUUCAGCUUGACUACGUGAAAGCGCUCAGCCCAGAGAGACACGUUGAUGCUACGUUCUCACAUUAAUGAAUCAGCCGGAGAAACUUGGGUAGAUUCUCAGAGCUGGAGGUCUUGGGGUCAUCGACGUUUUAUGUUUGGAGAGGUCCAGGGCAAAGAGACAGAAGUAGCCCCCAAUCGCUGUUAGACCUGGAGAGUCCAGGAGUUGAUGCUACCUUCUUCCUUGAACUUGAUACUGGACCUCUUAAUCUCAAGUUCGUGUGCCCGAAGUAUAGCAGGCCAAACGCUGAGACAUCAUCUGUGCUUGGAGUUGGAGAAAGGUUUAUUUGCAUUGGCCAAAAGGAGAAGGCAGGAGCCUGGGUUCCUCGCUCAAAUGCCCCUCCCCAAGAAUAGAAAGCAGGGGCUUUUAUAAGAGUUAAGGGGUUUGGCGGGUGGAGCUUUGGAGAAACAAAGGGGUCACUCCCGAUGAGCCCCUGGACAAUCUGAUGUUGGGGCUUCACCGACUGCUGAGGGCUGGCCAUCUGGGGAUCCCAGCCUCCCUGAAGGAUUUCUCUUUCUUCCGCCAAACAAACUCACAACUCCUCAAGACCUGAGGCACCCCUCAAGCUAAACAAGUAAACAGCAAAUCGACAAAAUUCGUCUAUUGUCUGUGCUGAGAACAAGGUCAAAAGGCAGUCAUGUUCUUAUUGAAUAUCUACAGUGACCCUCAGCUCACCAGCUUCAAACUCAUGGCGGGACAUGCAAAUCUGCAUCUUCCCUCCGUCCUGAUUCUCGGCGGUAUAUGCCACAGAUCUCAGGGGUUUGAGAAACGAAUAAAACGCGCCUGUGUUUUCUUCUCAAACUGGGCAUGAGUAUGAGGCACCCUUCAUACUGCAUGUUUGUUUUUCUCCAAGAGCAGUGUUGGGGUUUUCUUCCUCAUAAGCAGUUAAAUAGCCCUCAGGCCAAAGGAGGGCCUCUGGACCCACUGUGGGAUUGAGCCCCUGGGGGUUCUUAGCCUGGGGCUUCCGUGAGCUUGAGGAGGGCUUGUCAUCUUACGAAGCUUUGUCCUACGUCUCCUCCUGGGUCAGGGCUCGAGGAGCGAGUCUCCUGCCGGGGUUGGUAAUUGGCUGGUACUGAGACUUAGUCAUCGGGGUACUCUGCCCAUCUUUGUAGACAAAGGAGGGAAGAGGGAGUGGGAAUGUCAGGCCUGCUGCUCUGCAUCUCUGUUGCGUCGUGUGGGAUGGAAAAGGAACUUCAAAGCAUCAACCACUUCAAAACCCCAGAUCAAGCUGAGCCUCCUCCUGGCAGCCCACUGACAGGCUGUUACUGCACGAAAACGCAGCUGACACUUUAUUAUUUUGGGGGGAGGGUGGCGGGAUCCUGUUAUUUCCCUUCUGAAGUGUAAAGGCUUCUUUUCUAGUGUGUCAUCUUCACAAAAGACCACAUGUUUUAAGAUUCCAUUUGUAUGAAAUGUCCCAAAUAGGCAAACGCGCAGAGACAGAAAGCAGGUUCGUAGGUAGGAGACGUGACUGCCAUUGCAUGGGUUUCUUUUUGGGGUGAUAACAUCCUGGAUGAGAUAGUGGUGAUGGCAGCACAAGGUAGCAAAUACUCCACAAACACUGAAUUGUGUCCUUUGAAAUGGCGAAUUUUAUGUCCUGUGAACAAUAUCUCAAUAAAAAAAUGAAUACAUAGUAUGUCAUCUUAAGGUGAGGACCAGUGAAAACUGGUGUUGGGGUGACAGAUCCACCAGAACUCUGGGUGAUCACAACAGCCCUCCUGUUUGUUGUGCACCCCGUUGUUCCAGGGCCUGCCACGUGUUCACCCACUUAAUCCUCACAGCGGUCCCCUGAGGUGGGUGCUGUCAUUACCCACAUUUUACCCACGAGGGAGCUGAGGCACAGGAGGACCUUGUUCAAGGUCACACAGCUGAGGCACGGCAGAGCCAACCCCCACCCUAUGCAGUCUGGCUGCAGAAUCUGCACCUGCACCCAGGGGCUGUGCUCCUGUCUGGGCUCUGCUAAGGUCACUGCAGGAUUCUGACAACUAUCCAGAGAGGCCUGUCUGUGAGCUCAGGGACCCAGGGUGGCCCCGGCUGAGCACUGGCACAGGCGUGGCCACAGCAAAGGCUGUUUGCACAAAUGGAUCGGCCCCCUGGCUGCCAUGCCAGCUCUGCAGGUGACAUCAGCCUGCUCCGGCCCCUGUUUGUUGGUACCUGGGGCGCUGGCGGCCUGUGCUGCAGAUGGGUCCCUGCGGACGUCUCCUCCUUGCCGGUCGCCCCCCUCAUGGUGGCUGCCACCCCGGCAGCUGUGUCUGCUUGUGAGCUCUGGUGAACGUGCACACGACUCCAUCCAGCCCAGCUUUUCCAUGGGAAACAGUGCCAGAGCAAUUUGGCAUAAUGUUUUAUGCUUUUAAAAUCAGACAUACUGAUCUCUGAAUGAAGGAAAAGCCAGUCACCUGGGGUGUCUUAAAAUGAGCCUCACUCUAAGUCAAUAAUACAUAUAAAUAAUGAUCUAGUUACUUUCCAUUUUGUUGAACACUUAAAAAAUACAAUUUUAGUGUUCUAAUUUAUCUUGAGAACCUCCUUUUUUCCUAACAAGAGAAACAUAGGUGCCUAUUUGGCACCUGGAGCUCUCAGCCGUGUGGACUGAGAGGCAAGGUGGGGUCGUGGGUAAGGGCCUCUGUCUGGUUGGAAGCCGCGCCUGGCUGCUUGGCAGCCGUGUGCCCUUGGACAGGUUUACUGAGUGUCCCUGUGCUUCUUUUCCUGAAAUGGGACAGUCCUGCCCCCUACCCCAUAGCGGAAGGUGGGGGUUAAAUGCCUAACAAGCACACAGCACCGGAGAGGAGCCAGCAGGAGGCACAUGCUAUGCCAGCUCUUCAUGGUGAAUCUGAGGGCCUCAGUCUGGAAAGUUAGCCGUAAAGCGGCAGCGGGAAGUCAUACAUUUGUAUCGACCCUCCCCUGCUUCCGAGCAGCUUCCUUCACUGUCUCACUGGAUUCCAGUAUGGUCCCCAAUCGACACGUGGGAAAUGGAAAGUGGCAAGUGUGUUCGAGACCACACCCGGCAUCGUUAACGUCUUAGCUGGGUCUGGAACUCCAUUCUCCUUACUUUUAAACCAGUUGUAUUUGUUUUUGAGAAGAAUCUUUCGAGGUGAUUUAUCAUUAAUUUCUUAGUGAGAAAUUGAAAAAAAAGGAAGAUGUGUUUCAAGAUUCAGAAAUGCUUAACGAUCCAACAACGGAGAUGCGUUAUUUGAACCACUGCCUGAGUCUGGAGCCUGGCUUCUUUUUAGUUCCACAGCUUCUAGCCCGUUCUGUUGUGUUUGUUCACGGGCUAUAGGUUGUUGGAAGUAGAAGGGGUAUUAGAGAUAAUCAAUAUUAACCCUCUAUUAAAUGAGGAAACAUUUCCCGGGAGCUGGUGUGACUUUAUUGAGCCUGUAAACAAGAAAAUAGUUGAAACCCCAGAAUCUGACAUAUUGGUCCAGUUCCCAGUCUGGCUGCCUCUCCCUUUUGACAGCUUGCCUUUCAUGUGUAAAAGGAUUCACUCCGAGUGCUCCUGGCAGGGGGUCUGCCUGCCAUGCUUUAUAAAGCCCGAGGUUCAUGUGCACAUAGUAGGUGCACAAAUAGCCCUCCGCCCUCCUCUCUGGGAUGACUGCUGAGCCCUCUCUCUCCUGCACCCAGCCCUUCUGUAGCAUCUUUUCUGCCAUCUCCGAGCAGAUUUGCAAAUGGUUAAUUUCUGUGAAUCCGUUUUCCCACUUGUGAAAUAGGUACAUGUCUGCCCAUUUCAUGAAGUCUGUAAGAGGAUGAAAUGAGCAAAUGCCUGUAUGUGCUUUAGCACCGUGCCUGGUGUGUAAUCAGUAUGGUUGGUGUGGUUCUCCUUCAGGAUUGCUCUCUGGACUCAUUUUAAUGUGAAUGGGAACCCUUGGUGGUGGCAGUGGGGACAAGAGGUUUGCUUGGGGCUCCAAGGCCUUAGGCUUGGGUCUCCAGAAUGCCCCCUGCCUGGUUUACCCAACUUCCGUUCUCCGUCAUCUCAAGCGAAGACGUCACUGGCCCCUUCUUGCGGAAUCCCUAAAGUUGCUGGUUUGGCUGCUUCUCCGAUUAGAAGGUGAUGAAAGACGUAAGUUGUACUCAUCCAGAAGGCUAAAGAGAAUUGCACGUGCUCCUAUUGCACCGAAACACCCCCAGGUGGACACUCAGUCUGUCCAGGACGGGUGGCAGGAUCGGUUCCGCUUCCCUGGGCCGCACCCCUCUGGAGCACUGCCCUUCCACCAGGAGCCCGCCAGUGGGAAGGAUGUGCGGGUCUCUGCUGAGUUCUCCACAUUCUCUGGCCCAGCACACAGCUGUUUAGCACACAGGGCCCAGCACAGUCACAGAACUUUCUGCCCUCUGUUGACUGGUCGCUUGCUAGCCUGUGUCUCUGCAGACUGUAGCCCCACAUCAGUAGACAUGGUCUUGUUCGCUUCUGCAUCUGUAGCUCCCAGCACAGGGCCCAGCACACAGUUGGUGCUCAAUAGAUGCUUUUAAAAUAAACCACUGACUAGACAAACUUUAAAGCAAGGGAAGCGUCCGUGAACAAGAAGCGAAGGGUGAACCUUGUUGUCCUUUCCGGGCUUAGCAGGCUGGGCUCAGCAUGACCUGGCCUCUGUGCACCGCCUGCUCUUCGCCCUCUGUGCGACCAUGACUCUCCUUGCCUUCCAUUUCCCGGUGCUCCUCAUGUCCCUUCCCGCCACACAGGGCACACAGUACGGUUUGCCAGGUUGUGCAGUGCACAAGGCCACUCCACCGAAGGGUAUGCGAGUGCUGCCCAGGACAAACCUCAGGAGAGCCACAAACACGAGCCGCAUGGGUAAUUUUAAAUUUUCUCGUAGCCACGUGAAAAAAAAGUAAGAAGCAGCAAGUGGAAAUUAAGAAAAUAUUUUAUUUAAUCCAAUAUAUCCAAAUUGUGCCCUUUCAACAUGUAGUCAAUAUUGAAAUAGUUGAGGUAGCCUAUAUAUUUUUUCACAUGAAAUUUUCAAAAUUCAGUGUAUAUUUUAUAUUUGCAGCACAUCUCGACUUAGACUAGCCACAUUUUAAGCGCUUAGUAGCCAACUGUGAUGAGCUGCUAUAACAGAGAGCAGCACAGAGUUGUGCCAUUGGCAUUCCAAAUAAUGUGGACCUGAAUAAACAAGUUUUCUGGAAGUUGACAGUAAAAGGUCUUGUUCUACCCAAAUCAGUAAAUUAUGACAAUUUUCCUACAGAAGCAAAGGGUCUUGAGGAGGUACUGCCUUUUUCCUAAUUUGCACAUAGAUACUCUGGGCCGGUGGUGGCCUUGCUACCACAGGGCUUUUGCACAUGCUGUUCCCUCUCCUGGAAGUCCAUCCCCAUUUGACUGUCAGCAUCUGCUUAUGUUUCUAUUAAGUGUCACUUCUUCCAGGAGGGCUUCAUUCCAUUUUCUCACAGACCCUUGUUCCUUUGCCUCAUAGCACUUAAUUGAAUUUAUAAUGAUAUAUUCCUGUGUAAGAUUAUUUGAUCAAAUUCUGUCUCCAACACAAAAUGGUAAACUCUCGGAGGGCAAGUUGUCGUGUAUUUUUGCUCCCCACGGAAUCCCAGCCCUGAGCAUGGCGCUGAAUGCAUGGAGGGGUCCCUAGGGAUGCGCUGAGGCUCUGCCUGUGACCGCAGGCACCAGUGGCCACCAGCCCCGGCAGUUUCAGACGCUCAUGUUCUUAUGAUCCCAGAUACGUCUUAUUCUCCGCCCCUGGGAUCGGGCAGGAACUAGAAUGUCACUCAGGGUCUCUCCAGGGAAGAAAGCUGACUGUCCCCUGUCUCAGGGCUCAGACAUGUUUCCGGUGCAAAGUGUGUGAAUGCGUCUCAUCACUUCCCCCGAGUCUGUUCCCGGUGCCUCCGCCUUACAUCCCUACAGAGCUGAGUGACCUUGAGUUUUGUCCUGGACGCACUCAGGAGAUUUCAUCAUGAGUGGCCGCUUCAAAGCAAAUAUUUUAAAAGUGGGUUAGUUGGUAUGAGGAGAGACGAUGCACGUGGUAAGACGCUGCAUUGUGAAACACACAGGGUUGUGCAAGUUCCUCUCUGAAAUCUGGGGCUGCAAGCUGGGAAGUUUACUUAAUUGCGUCAUAUGCUAACUUCUCCCUUCCCAUCCUCCUAGUAUCCCCACUACAAAGUAAAAUCCACACAUGGGGCCAUUAUGAAUAAAAGCUAUACAGUGAAUUACGAGCACAAGGUAAAAUGCUUACUCACCAAUUAGCAUUAAUAAUAUGUAUGUUACAUUAAGUGUAGUAGUUAAGAUUUGGAACUCUGAUGACAUCAGACUGCCUAGAUUCAAAUCCUGGCCUUGCCAUUCAUCCGCUGUAUGACCUUGGACAAGUUACUUAACCUCUCUGGGGCGCUGUUUCCUCAUCUGUAAAAUGAAGUAUUUAAAAAACAAAGAACCCACCUCAUAAGUGUGUUGUGACACUUAGGAGAGCUUCUGACCAUAUGGUGCCUGCAGAACAUUAUGCCAGAAGUUGUGUUUAUGUUCUUGAAGGAGUUUGCGCCUAUAUGGCAUUAAAGAACUGGUUAAGGAUGGACACUUCAGGUGGUUAUGUGCAGACGCAGCCUUAAUUUGAGAGGACACAGGGCCCAGCACCUGCUAAUGUUUGCAUCAUUCCUUGAGUCUUCUUUGAUGAGGCCUUACUGGAAAAUUGUUUCCACAAAAGACCUUCCAUGAAUAAAGUGAGAGCAGGAUUGCUGGCUGGGGCGUGUUGGGCUGGGUCUCACGGGGCCUCUUCCUGUGUUUGCAGUUUAGCAUCUGUACCUCGUGUCGAAUACGGAAAAUAGUUAAGAGAUAAUAAGGCAAUAAAAGUGUUUCCUCACUUGGGAAAUGCGCAGUGCACACAUUGGCCAGUUUAUUCGAACCAGACUCUCGUGCCCGGAGGCUCAUCCGGCUCAGCUGGGAGGUGGACGAUGCCUCAUUCGCGAGGGCCUUCUCCACCAGGCCCGGCAGGAGGCACAGGACGUGGUUCCUACGCAGUGAGAUGGAAAGGGAGCUGCUGAAGGUGUCCCUGCUCGAGAGGGCGUCUUGUGCGGCUCUGCCGGGGUGCCCGCAGACCCCACCGGCAGAGACGCACACGCUGUGUGGAGGGGUUGGGCCUCCAGUGAUGCGAUGUUAACUCGUCUAUGACACUUGGCAGUGGGGAUGGUAGAAAAGACACAGACUUUAGCUCAGAGAUCGCUGCGCUUAACGCUGGACCUUUAAAUAAAUUACAUUAUCUCUACAAGUUCUUCAAGUUUGGGGGCGUGCUGCCUUCCUGUUGAGGGCUGAUGGGAAGAGGCCACUCCACAGGGUUGUCGUGAGGGUUAAGUUACGUGAUGGCUUUAAUGGAGGGAAUGAACACGUAAUUGCCUCUAAUAGCUGUCAUUUCCAUGCGAAGUGGAGAGGUGAAUCAUGAAAGGAGAGGGCAGAAGUCCAGCGUGGGGCUGCCCCCUCGACCUGGAGCCCUGGAAGUCAGGAGAGAGCCUGCGUGGGGUAGCGGGGGAGAGAGUAGGCAAGGGAAAGGGCAGAGCAUAUGACGAGGGGAAAAGGACGCCGAACACAAAUGCCACCGACUCUAAGCCUCAGACUUAUCCUAAUGCCUGGGUGAUAAAAUUAACAGAAUGAGGAUGAUAACGUCAUUAUGUCAGUCACAAUUAAAGCAGGAGAAAAAGAAUGUACUGCGUAUGUAGGAAGACCUUGGUAUGUGACAUGGCUACCAUGUGUAAUCCAGAUGUUAAUUUAAAUUCACUUAUUUAUACACCUCUUUUGAGAGCUUUCUCAAUGCCAGGCACCACUCAGAGUAGAGGGGGUACGUACAGAGUGACCACAACAGCCCCCUGCUGCCGGGGAGCUCACGAGCUAACAGGGCAGAGGGACAAAACCAAUAAGGAAAUAAUAGACUAUAGCAAGUGAUGAAUGUUAAGAGAAAAAUAAAGUAGGUAGAGAUACAGGCAUGUGAGGGGUGUAUUUUAGAGAGGGUGAUGAGGGAAGUCCUCUCUGAUAAGAUAGCAACUAAAUUAAAAAGAAAACUCUUCGUUUACUCAUUUCAUUCAACAAGCCUUUACUGAUCCCCACCACGCGUCAGGUCGUUUGCUGGGAGCUGGGAACAUAACAGUGGACAAGACUGAUGAAUGCCCUCCUCUCAUGGAGCCUUCGUUCUUAUGGGGGGCGGGAAUAAAUGUUUAAACAAGUGAGUGAGCAAGAUAACUUCACAGAGUGUAAAUGUGUACAGGCAAUAGAUGACGUCAAUCGGAGAAUAUGAGAGGGAGGCUUGGGGGGCCCGGACAGGGGAAGUGGGUGGCCACGUGUAAGACAGAAUUAAAAUCUCCAGAGAACUUUGGCAUAUAAGUGUGCAAUAAAAGUUGUAACUUAUUCGUUACAUAUAAUGUGUGUUUGUAGUCCUGGAACACCUUUAUUACAUCAGAAUAUGUUAAUAAAAGUUUAGUCCCAAUUAGUUUCUAUGUGGAUCAAUAUGAAAAAAAAAUGGCUGGGUUAUUUUAUAUAUCUCUCUCUCUUUCUAUCGCCCUCUUGAUCAAUCCCAUCUUCCCCUCUUCACUGUCCCCCCACGACUUGAGCAUUUUUGUUAUCACCCAUUUACAGUAUUUAGAGGCCAGCAUUCUGUACACACUCUACCUGUUUGAACCAUGUCAGCUCACUGCCACUUUCUAUGAUCCAGCUAAAUGGAGUAUGCUUAAUAUUGUAGUGUAAGGCGUUCUCUUUAUUUCUAGAAUUAUCUCGAGAUCUCUGGCUAUCCUCACUCUCCCACAACAAAGGCUCAAUGUUGGUGUAUUCAGAUCUAUUCUCUGAUACCAGGACAAUGUUUAAACAAUUUCUUAAACCAUCCCAAACACACUAAGCCUCCCCAGGUCUUUUCUGCAGGACGGAUUCCUUCCACCCAUCUUUGAAAGGGACUCAGUCUCUUCUUUAGAACGAAUCAAGUGCUAGGACAGGGUCAGGGCUGAAUGGGCCCGUCAGCUCCAUGAAAGUGAGCUGGUAGCCGUCUUUACCUUCCACCUGGAAGCUCUCCCUGGAUUCCCCUGCACAUGCAUUCAUUCAUUCCCUCAUUCAUUCAUCCGUUACUCACUCAGUGGGUGCUACCAAGUGCCAGCUAAGCUCUGUGGAUGCAAAGAUAACGUUAAUUCCUUUCCUUGAAGAGCUUACACUGUAGGGGCGUGAAGAAAACUAGUCAGUGGGUGGUUGUAAUACGCUGAGAUACCUGCUAUAAAGAGGGUUUGUUAGUAUAUUAGGGAGCAUGGAGAAGGGAGUGUCCACUCCAUGUAAGGACAUCAGGGAGGGAUUUAGAAGAGGACGUUGGAGCUGAGCCCUGAAGGAAGUGUGGAGGCCAAGCAGAAAAGGCAGGAGGGGGAAUGGCUUCAGGGCUUCGGAAAUGUUUAGAAUGAAGGGCAUUUGAAGCAGCAAGAAGCAGGCGCAAGGUACGGAGGUAUAUGGUUCAUGCUGGGGGCUCUCCGGGGUGGAGGGAGAACCGGAGAACAGCUGGGUCCAGGUCCAGACGGAUUUGGGGUGCUCCAAGAAGAGGUCCAGACUGGGCUGUGUACACCCUGGCGUGCUAGUGGAGGGGUUCGAGCAGGUGAGUGACGCGAUCAGCUCUGUCGGCUUUUAGAAUAAUCACUUUGGGAUCCAGGUGGAGAAUUGAUAAGGGCCUGAGUUCGGACAGCUGUUGGGUGGAUGGAGAAAAGAUGGGUCUGAGAGGUGCUUCAGAGUAGAAUGAACAGAACUUAAUAACUAAGUAAAUGUGGGGCGAGCACUGAGGAGCGAUGUGGAUGAAGAGAAGGUCGGUGCCAUGAACUGAGUUCGGAGUACGCGGUGCUAGCUCUUUAGAAACAAUGAUCCAGAUACAAUAGUAGGCUGAAGAAUGCUUUUUACAAAAAAGUACUUGUUUAAUUGAAUAAAAUCAUUCCCUUAAAUACUUUUUAAAUUUUUUGCAAGUGUUGCCUUUUAGAUAUUUAAAUCCUUUGAUGUCAGGGAUAUGUUUCAAUAAUUCUUUUGAUCAAGUUUAUCUCUGUAAGUUAAUGGCGUUUGACCCAGGUUCGGCAGGGCCCUGAGGCUUCACUGGGAACAAGAAAGGCCUGAGCAGGCACAGCUCCAGACCACCUCUCUGCAGAGUCAACCGCAGCACGUCCCUCUCGUGUGUUCUAACACUGGGCUGAGGGUGGGAAUUUCAGAAAGAGCUCUGGAGCUGUAUGAUCUCUGAAAUCACAGUCCCAUACCAGUAACUCGUGCAGUAUGCUUUCUUCAGUGUCAGUGCUUGGCUGAAGGUCUGUGUUAUAGAGUGUUUCUUUGUUUUGUUUUUGUUUAUUGUUUGUUUCUAUCAUAGAAAAUGUAGAUCAUAUCAGGGGACCCGUACUCAUAAAUCUAGUAUAUUAUGCCUGGUCGUUUUUAACUGCAGAUAACAUUGUUUUAAUUGCCACGUAUUUCUUUUUCCUAAUAAAUGUACAUCUCACCCGCAACGGCCUAUGUUUCUCUUGAUGAUGGAAUGAGAAUCAAACAUCUGCAGCUGGAACAGCCACCCGGCGUGUGUGUCAGUCUCAAUGAGGUGAAAAGUGAAAGCCAGCCACACGUCAGCGGAGAAUUAAUGCAAGCUGUUGUUUCUGAGUUUUCCAAAUAUUUUCCAACUCCCAUUGUGUGUUUUUGUGUUUUGUACUCAAACCUCCUGCCAAAACCUCCCCCAACAGCAUUCCUGCCUGGGUUCCUAAAUCAUUUGGACAGCAAACAAAACUUCUCAUAGGCCAUUCAUCUCAAGGAGAUACGGAUGCCUUUGUGCCCUAGGGAGACCGAAAGCAGAGGUUGUCCGUCUCUGCCAAGGAGAUUGAUGUCUCCGUCGAUAUCACCGUGGGACACAUGGGGGAGGCCGCCUCUCUCCGGCCCCACAGCUCCUUCCUGACUAUCAGCUCACCAGUGAUUGCGGUUCCAUUCCUUUCAUUGUUACAGCAAGGGAAUGUUAAGCUUUACUAACUCCUUAUUCAAAACGCCCUUGAAAAAGACAAUGAGGCGUCAGAAAAUAAUAGAAUCUCGUUAUAAUUCCUCCACAGACCUUUCAGAUGUCCUUGGAAAACACUAUUGUAUCUGACUCAGUUUCCCUCUCUCUCAGGAAUAGCAGGUGUACAGGCAUCUAAAGUCUGCCUGGAUACCGAGGUGCCUCUGAUAUCUUGAAUAGUCAACAGGAGUGAGAUCUUUUCCGUAAAGUCCCUUUCACAUUCCCUAUUGUUUCCCUGAAUUCAAGACAUCUAAUAAGAACCACGAACACCAUAAUUUAAUGCCAGCUCUCUGUUUUGCGACAAGCCAGUUCCAUCCUGGAGCGAAAAAAGCAGAGGGGGAGGCUGUGGUUCAAAAUGGGAGGCAGUUCAUUUCCUAUUAUUUGAAAUCUACGUUCCAUUUUUUUUCUUUGUGGAUUUUUAAACUAGGGGUCUGUUUUGUUUCCAUAUUCAUAAAGAACAUGAAAAGAUUUGGAAGGAAAAAGGAAAACAUCCCUGAAGACCCUCCUGCAGGUAUUUUAAACCGCUUUAGUGUGCACGGAUAAAAAUCUAUCGCAGUUGGUGUGUGGGAUCUUGAUUUUUGUAGUUAUGAAUUAUUUAAACCAAGUUUAUGUGACGUAAAGAACAAUUGUCUAAAAAUACAAAUGAUCGUUCUCUUCCUUUUGUGUUGUAAACUCCUUGGUGCUGCAGAGGUCAUGAAGGAAUACUUUCUUCCCUAUCAGCUUAGCUCCCAGCCUUGCUUUCUGGCUUUGGCUGAGAAUUUGGGCUGAGAUCAGCAGAGUCAACCACUGAGUUUCCCCAGGUUCAUGGAGACGGGUGUCACAUGCAGCAAAACAAUGACCUGUGUACCCCCAGCCUUCAGGUCGGCCUCUAUGACGUUUGGCCUGAUUCUCGUUUCAACAAAUGUCUAAAAUUAUAGCAUCUAAUUGAUCGCUUUCCACAAGGGGAACAGCAUAGGAAAAUGGCCCCAGGCUCUGAAAGCUGCUGGAACUUUCGCUUUGGUUAGCUUUUUUCUAUUUUAGGGUCCAGCUUAGCUCUGUGCUAGUAGUACCUUUUUUUGCUUUUCCAUUCUAAAAUAACUCAGUAUACCUGUGAGCUAAUUAACAGGCCAUUCGAAUUUCUUGACCUUCCAUAGAGAAGACUUGUGGGGUGGAAUGAACCCAGAGUAAUGUCUCUCAUCUCUUUUUCUCUCUCUGUCUCCGUGGGCUCGAGUGAUAAAUAGUAAAUCCUACACUGCAUUCAAAAGAAUAACUUGAAAAAUAUACAAUGGGGAGAUUUGAUUUGAUGAGAUUUUGAUGUGGACAAGUUCCCUGGGGAUGACAGUCAGUUACAGGCCAGGCGUGAGGGAGCAGUGGGGUUGCUCUCAGUCCUGCAGGGGUGGUUUCGGGGCGCAGCUAGGGAAGUGUCCUACAGUCAUGGGACAGCCUCAUGGCAUCCUCAGGCCUGUGAGAGUGUCUUUGUUUCCAGCCCUAUGUUUCAAAUGGGAUUUGCCCAAACCAAAAAAAAGAAAGCCCUGGAAAGAGUGACCAGGAUAACUAGAUCUCGAAAUAGUGGCACUUAAGUGAUGAGUGAGGAGCCAGGAAGGGUACGACUUAGGAUGGCACAUCACUACUCUUCCGGGUGUUGGAAGGUGAGAAAGAGGGGUGACGUGUCUACACCGUGGCUUCAGAGAGUGGAGUUCCGGCCAGCAGGUGGAAUUAUGGAAAAGUCUAUUUCAGCUUAAGCGAAGGAAGCCACUUCGAAUGGUCCGAGCUCUCUGAAGUGGGAGUGGAGUGCUACAGGGUGUGGAGAGCCACUGUCGCUGGGGGUGAGCAGAGAGGGUGGCUGCUCCGCUUGGGGGAAUGUGGUAGGGACUGGACUGGACCGUCUCUGUGGAGCCUUUCAACACAAAGAUCCUCUGAUUCUGACAGUAAACGUGAAUUCUCUCCGUCUCUAAUUGUGCGAGGAUUCACCCGUAAUGGGCUCUCUACAAAAACAGAGUGGAAAUGUGCCUGAGGGAGGCACCGUGGGCUGGCUGGCUUUACUAUUUAUGGGACGAUAUACCUAACUUCUCAAUGUUGACGUGUGUGGAAUGCAGUAGAACACAUCUCAUAGGGUUGUUAUAAGGAUUGAAUAAGGUAAUAUAUGGAAAGACAUUAGACCAGGACAUAACUUGUGCCAGGGCUUGCUUGUCAGGAGGUUGAAUAUGCAUAUAGGGUUGAGAAGUAGAUAUAAAUAUAUAUAUAUACAGCUGUUAUCAUCAUCAGCUGGAGACUUGUAUGUACUACAUCAACAGUAUCUUAACCGAAUUCAGGUAACCGCGUAUUCAUGUUGUGGAGUCCUGUUGAGUGAGAUUCUGCUGGAAGGCUGGUCCAACUUAAUCCUCAGCUGUUUAUGACUGAAUGCAGAAUGACUAACUGAAGAGUGUUUGUACUGCUAGUGGACAAUGACUGUUCUGAUUUGAAAAAUACCAAAAUGCAUGAUAUUCUUAUUCAACCAAUUGCUUUCACAAUGAGCCUAUAAACAGUUUAGUUAACAUUUCUAGGUCUCAUCUAAAAUAUCAAGUUUUCCAAUUUACUCAUGCUGGCUGGACUCCCAAUUAUUAUUCUAGUAACAAAACUGGGGCCAUUUCAGGAAAUCAGUGUGAAGGGACUCUCCCUGAAUUUUAACAUAAGUAAAUAAAUAGUUUCUAGUUUUAGACGUAGAUGAAUUAGUGUGUUUAGUGCAAGCGUGCACUGCAAGCAUUAUCUAGCAGAGGGAGAAAGGGACAUUUUGGAUCAAGGGGAACACAAUAGCAUGGGUAAUGUUAUUAACUGCACAUUUCCCCCCUCCCUUAGUAAUGUUUAACAAGGCUUUAUCGAUGACAAUAGCCUUGAUUUGUACAUGGGAAGAGAAGAUUACAUUGUGGGCACCAGACCAAUCCUGUAUACAGCAUCUACAAACCACAGACUUCAUUAAUAAUUGAUUAUGGGGGAUUGGACAAACCCACACUGGCCUGUCUUUGCCAGCACGCUUCCUCGCAAUACGCGGUCUUAUUUAUGAAUAAUUGUAGGGUCCUGGUUCUCCAAGGGGCCGUAGACUGGAAGGCAGAGUACUCAAUCAGUGGCACAGCCAGUCAGGGUUCUGACUCUUUUUGCAAAGCCUUUUACACUAGAUGCAUGUGGAAUCUUCAUCAACAGCGUCUGGACCUGGGUUGCAGAUGUAAAAACCUGACAGCUCAAUAAUAGAAGACAUUUCUGCAGGUGCAGAGUGACCUUCAGACACUCCUAGCUGCUGCUUCUAUGCAGCUUCCCCAGGAGGCUGCAGCUGUAUGUCAGAGACCGUGAAGAUUGGGUUCAGAAAGUGUUAGGAAAGCGUUUCCCGUUGUAGAGGAAGAAAAAUCGACCCGUUGUCUGGAAUGCUAUUGUGAAAUCACACUGGUGCCACGGCCUGUUUUUCUGGCAGUGAAACCACAGAAAUCACCUCUCUCGGAAGGCCAAGCAUGGAGAAGAAUUCUCCAGCUGAGACUUUUGUGGUCGUCUGGCUCUGUUUACAACCGACAGAGCAGGCCCCAGUUGAAUGAGGAUGCUAUGAUUGAAAAGGACGAUUGAGAAUAUUUAAAUUACUUUCAGAGGAUUUAUACAAGAGCAAGAUUGGAAGAAAACCCAGAAACUUUCUAAUUUAAAAUUGUUUUGUUCUUCUAAUAAAUAUUUCUUUGAUUAAACAGAUCCAUUGGCAAAGGCCUGAAAUCAUGGUUGAGAGUGUUAUUUUGCUGAAAAAUUGAAUCAAGAAACACUCAUGGGACAACAGCCACCAGGGGUAGGGUUCUGGAGGUGGAUGAUUCCUGAGGCUGUGUUGAAUGCUUGGUACGAGAAGAGACUGGAAAACACCCGUGGGCAAAGGGGUCGCUGGAGGAUGUCCCACCUGGAAAUGCUUCGGCUUUGAAAGAACUCCAGAAGGAAAGCGGUCUGGAAGUGUGGUCUCGGGCAAUCAGGGGCCUCAGAGAUGGGAGAGUGAUGUUUCUUAUUCCCCAGGCUGAGGGGGAGCACAGCUCAUCUAGAAAACUCUGAUAAACUACCACCAGAUGACGCUGUUUCCUCAUUAGGCCAGUGGGACCUGUCACCCAGAGGCCCCACAAGGCAGAGGCAGGAGUGCGGCCUUGGCCUGGGGUCUCGUUCCAGCUCUGCCGCUCAGCAGACGGAGGCCUGGAAGGAGCAGACCAACAAGGAAAUCCUGGAAUGGGUGAUGGCUGAAGCCUCUCCAGUUACUUUUUAAAGAGUUUUAUUUUUCAAAUUCAAGCCUUAGUGAUGCCUUUUAUGUAAACAUAGUCUGUGUACAAACAUAUCCAUUUUUAUUUAACUAAAUCUCCUUUAGAUACUUAAAUUCUGUAAAGACACAGGCGGAGAUCCAAUGGACAAUGGCACACCUGGUACAUUGGUGUCCCUCCUGAGCCCAAGCAGCGUCCCCAUGUGAAGUCUUAUUUGUGCUCUCAAAGAAUCGUAGAGUAGGAAGAAUCUUAGAGGGGGUACAGUUCGGUCCUCUACGUUUCCUAUCUUAUAUCAAAGCAUAAGCUUCUCCAGGGGGUGGGGAGAAUCUUAUUUUUUCCUGUUGUGGCUCCUUUUUAGGGGCAGUGGUUCUAGAACCAUGUACUUAUGUUCUGGGUCAGCUCUGCGUUCCAUCCUCCUGUGCAAUCUGUUAGACAUGACACAGGGGUUCUGCAGCUCUGUGAAAACUUCCUGGAUUACUGAACGAAUGAAUGACAGAACAUUUAGCCUUCAGGUUUGAGGUCCUGGUCUUGCCUUCUCUUUAUAAAGCAGAACUCUGCUCUCUGUUUGCUCCAGAUGUUUUCAGUUUUAUGGGAAUUAAACUCCAAGGCAAGAAUAUAGUGGCAGAUCCAGUGCCCAAACUGUGCCCAUUCCUGCCCCCAACACGGAGGAAGUACCGGGUUCCAUGCCUCUGCUUCGUGCUGACCGUUAGUGGAGCCCGGACCAUUUUAGCACAAAGAAACGCUCACGAUUUUCCCAGUGAGUCUUGAAGGUCAUUUGUCUGCUGCUCCUCACAGUAAUCAUAACAACCGUUUAUUCCUUGUAAACAAAACAGCACAGCCUUAACCUACACCACCGUAAAAACAUUAUCCCGGUAGGACAAGAGAGUUGCUGACUGUUAAAAAGAAUUGGCAAGAAAGGUGAAAAAGAAACAAGUCUUGAAAACUAAAAUAUUUUCAUCUGUAUCUUACAAAUGUGGUGACAUAUAUUUCUACCUGAAAAAGGUGAUGGACUUCAAUUUUGUCCUUUCCCUUUGCUUACCCUAUGGAGGACAAUUUUCAGUGAAUAUUCAAGUUCUCUUGCUUUAAGAAGAAAACAAGAAUGGCAAUGACCCCUGCAUGCACUGAUGACCGAGCAAGUUCUCUCCCUGGACCAGUUCCACCCCAGUGUUCACAGUUAACAAGGUUUCAUUAGAGCUGCAAAAAAAUGUGCCUUUGCUUCCAGACGCGAGCAGCGGAGCUCUGUUGGGGCCUCAGCAGGGAACAGAUUUCCCUUUUCAUCUUUUCGCUUCCCUGGUGUGGGAGCUUGUCUUUUGAAAUAGUGGCAAUCAGAACAAAUUACCUAAAGUGUGGGGAAUGAAAAGAUUUCACAGUCGUGGUGGGUAUAUUUUAGUUUUCUUUAACAAUUGGUACCUUCCCCUAAUGAUUGAAAAUGAUCCAAGAAAUCUGUGUCCUCCUGCCAAGGCUUUUGUGAGAGUGUGAGCUGGAGAGAGCUCUUUGGUGACAGAUUGUUUCAGCCAGUGCUCAGGAGCUCCUGAAAACCAGCAGCCUGCCUUGUUGCCUGGUUCCCUCCCUUGACAGGGACCAAGAGGUUUGGGGACAAUUGCUGCUCUGGUUGGGAGAGUCGGAGCCUGGAAGAGGGGAGGGUUUUGCGGCUGGUGUUCGGCUCACAUUCCAGAUGCAGAGUUUGGCAUGGUCCUUGUGUCCCUUGUAGUCUUGAGAAGAAGACAAAGAAUGGGCUGCUCAGCAUCUACCCUCGAGUUUUCCUUGAUGUCCCAGUCCCAUUAGGACCCUGGUUAUUGGCAGGAAGGAACCUCAUGCACCUCUGAAACACCGUGGGUGGGCUGCACCCGCUAUUUCAUCCCUCACACCCCACCAGCCCAGGUGUGCUGGAAAAUGAGUUCACUUCCAGAGGUUCAGGGCAAUGGAGAACGUGCCUGAGUCCUCCAGGACUAGGUAGGGGUUGGACCUCUGAGAGGAGACCUUGCAGGCUUAGGAUGGGAGGCUAUGGCAUUCCUGGGGGACGCCUGGAGAGAACACUUGCCCCUUCAGGUGUCAUUUCUGGAGCUUUCUACUUGAUGAGUUAGAAACAAGUGGAAAUAAGAACAGCCAGCUAUUUGAAAGGUUACCUCCUGGACAAACCAGUGCUGCCCAGGCUUCACUGAGAAGGCUGUAGGAAGAGUGCUGGAGCGAGGUGUCAGGGGAAGGUCUUUGGGCAAGAGGCUGUGUCACUCCUGGAAGGUCGUGUGGAGAGGAGCUAGCAUCCGUUGCCUUGGACGUGUUCCCGUUAACUGAACGAAUAAAUGGGCAGAGGUUGGAAGGGCCCUCACUAGGACCAAAGAGCCUCAUCUUAUCCAAGACUAAGGUCCUCGUGGAUCGGCCAGAUGUGCAAAGUCUGGGGAGACUUCAAGAGGGGAUAAAGGCUCAGUGUGUGUAGUGGGAGGGAUUUAGACAAGAAGAAAUUUUCAACAGCAACUCAAGAAAGUGUAUAUGACAUCACUGCUUUCUCUGGGUAAGGACAUGAGUACGCUAAGCAAAGCGGACAUAGCAGCCCCAGAUCCAUGUGUGUCUGGGUGGGAAUCUGCAGGUCAUCUCUGCAGAUGGGUUUAAUCAAAAGCAGGCAUCAGGGGGCUGGGAGAGGGUGGGGUCUGAGAACAACCCUCAGUCUUCAGUGGCUGACAGACUGGGUGCUUGCCAGCAAGCUCAGUCAUCAGAGACUGAGCGUGGGGUGCAAAGCCCAGCCACUGGUGGCUGUGGACUCCAAGGUCAGAGCAAGACCAAUUUUAUCAAGAUUACUAGACCAAUUUCAAGAUAAGGCCCAAUGACCUCUCUUCUCCUUUGGGACAAUGUAGAACUUCUAUUUAUUCUGUGAGUUACUUUAAUGCUGAGUGAUUCAAAUAUUCAUUUCUGUCUUCUUUUAGUCAAGCCAAAUUUUUCAUGUGCUUGACCAAAAGCUGUUGAAAAAUCAGGAUAAUAGCCAGGAUUCAGAGUAAUUUCUAAAAUAGACGAUCAGGUGUCAAAAUUAUGAGACCGCUGCUUGAACAUGAAAACAAGUAACGUGACCAACUUAAGUUCAAACCCAGUAUCAGACAAAAGAAGUUUAAUUGUAAAUUUUAACAGCUGCCUCUGGACUGCCCUCUGCAUGGACCUGUAGGGCAGCCCGUGCAAAGAGAGGCGAUGAGUCACCAGUAUGUCUGUGUCAGGUGGUGAGGAGAGUGUCAGUUUCUAAAAUUGAUCUUGGAUACAUUCAUGUCAGUGUCAUCUCAAGAUGCUUCUGAUAUCAGUCUUGUGCUAAAGAGUGGGAUUAUUUUGGAGAAGUUCUAACGAGGGGGUCAUCUUGAGCAGGUCACUGAGAAUCCUCUUCUGUUUUCCACGGUGAUGGCAGCACAGUCUCUCCUGCUUCACAAAAAGCAGUCACUCCCGGGGGGCAUCGGAGAAGUGCUGAUGGUGGAGACGCGGAAGGACGGGAGGAGGUUGUUCUGGGCAACUUGGCUGAACAACUCCAUGAAUUUGAGCUGUGUUUCACUCCCCUUAAAUUUUUUCAGAGGAAGGAAUAGUGGCCGAAAGUUAACAGUUACUGAAGUUUGGUGGUAGGUAAAGGGAGUCCAUUACACUCUCUUCACUUUUGUUUAAAAUUUUCUAUCAUAAAAGUUAAUAUUUCUCCAAAGUUGUUGCUAGAAAAUCUUUUUUUUUAAAUAAAAAGAAAAUAAUUUAAAGGAUCUUGUAUUCUCAUUGAUUUUCUUAACUGAAAGCCACCUUAAAAAAAGAAAAAUAUAUGUACAUAGUUAUUAUGCCUAUUUUGCCUAUAUUACACAUUUAUAUACAUCUAUUAUUUAUAUUUCUAGUGUGUAAGAGAGAGAAAGUGAACAAAUAAGUAUUUUCCCUAAAGAGACUAUAUGUUUUUUCUUAGCACACUAGUGCUUAUAGUCUGAAAAAUUCCAUUAAGACAUGGAACGUAGACAACCAGAGUCCACUUUCCACUUCACUGGGGAGCUCAGGAAAUGACUUAGUUGAAGCCACACACACAGAAGUACACACACUUGCCUUUCAUGACAUUGGUGAUCUUUUCUGCAGGGAAACUCCAGCCAUCAUUGGUUCCAGCCCUGAGGUGCACUCUGAAAUGUUCAGUGCAGCAGGAUUCUUGAUAACUCGUCUUCCAGAGGGACUAGUGCUUGGUUUAACCAGGAAAUCACUUUUACUAGAGUCUGGAAAAUGGCUUAGAGAAGAGCAAGGGUGCCUGCAGCCCUGGACAGGCGGCGGUUAGACUGGGAGCCAGCCUCUCGGCCGUGAAUUGGGGACAUGGAGGGCAAGAGAAAUAGCACCUCUAGAUGUGCUGAGAAGAGUCAGGCAGGUCAUGGGGACCCAGAAUCUUGAGAAGGAUCCUACCAGUUACUGACAAUGCUGAAGAUGGAAAUUGUCAGAGAAGUUCGAUGUGUCCUGCCGAGUAAACUGACCUUACGUGCAUUUCUGUCUUCCAAGGGCUGUGGCCCCCAACCUGGUAGUCCCCUCGUCAGACCCUCAUGUCUCCACCUUCACUGACUCAGUGCACCUUGCUACCAGGAUACAGAAACCGGCUGCUGAUUGCACAGCACUUCCAGGCCCUGAUGGAGCAGCCUGGGCUCCGUGGGCACCUGCACCUGCAGGUUAUUCCUUCUGCUGGGAAGCUGGACAGAGGAGAGUGAGGAUGCAGUCAACUACUGAAGACUUGACUGGACACUGUACUUUUUGACUUUUACUGAAAGAAACCAUAAGAAACAGCCAAGGAAGACUAUCUGGCAUCUUCCCCCACCCCUGUCUAAAAUUAUCGAGGACACUGUCAUCAUAUUUCUCAGCAUCCAGGUUCCCAGGUGAUGCGUAUGCUGCUGGUGUGGAACCUGCACCAUGAGAACAACUGUUCUCGUGGCUCUCCACUCUGGCUACACAUCAGAACUGCCUGGGCAACUUACAAAAAAUUACCUGUGAGUGCCUCAGUGCCCCCUCCAGAGACUGUAGGGUGCACAGAGCAAACCCUGUGUUCAGACUUCACCCUAACCUGACGGGACGUGUAGGCUGAUUUGCAUCAUUCUAAUUUGACCAGCGAUGAAGCUGGAGUUGGGAGAUCCGGUGAUUCGCCCACAUGACACAAGAAGAUGGCAGGAGCUCCGUGCUCCCGCUUCCUCACCUCAAACAUCCCGGUAGCCCCUGAUGUGCUCGAAGGUCAAGACCUGGUUUCUCCCUUGUGUGGCCCAGUGUGGGGGGCACCUCUCAGUGGCUUUUGAGACACGAGGCUCCGUCUGUGCUGCGCAGACUUAUGUGAUUUAUUUCGGGGAAGCCUGGCGUCAAAGAAAGUUACCAUUGUCACUUGCAAGGCUGUGUGUGUCAAGAAGAUGCAUUCAGAAAAUAAUUUAAUCUCUGGUGUUUGCUUUCAGCUGAUGGGAAAAACAUGAAUGUGAAUUCAGUUUAAUAAUGAAUCAGCAGCUUAGCCAAGCCCGGACUGUGUCACUCACUUGAUGUGUGACUCAUGUGCUGUUGGGUUUCUGUUGUUGGAGGAUGGAUGGCUGCAACUCCUGCAGAUAUACACAAAUGAAUUCCAUGUUUCCUGGGCUCUAACUUAACCUCAGCCCUCGCUGUUGCCUCCUGUUCUUGUAGCAGAGGUCAGACAGACCCUCAGCCAGACACACUGGGGGCUCACAUGGAGCUGCCCGCGGCUCUGCUCUUUGCAGCAACUACCAUCUUUUACCUCAUGAUCGCUCACAACACAUCAGGAGGAUGUCUCUUCACAGACCAAAUGGUAGGUUAUUGGGUGGCAGAAAUCAAUCUUUUAAAUCAGAGCAUUCAGAGUCAUAUGCUGAUAAUUUUAGUAAGAUCCCUUAAAAUGACUAGGCAUAGGUAUUCUUUUCUUGUGGUAACCCAUGACACAGAAGGUGUUUUAAAAUACCUGACUUUUCCAAACACUAGUGAUGCAGAGGAAACCACAUUGAUUUGGGAAUUUAAAAUAAGUGUUCUAAAUGAAGUUAUGCAAAAAAUUUACCAUCUCUAAUGUAAUGAGUAAACAAAAUCUCUAAAUAAUACAUAAAAUUCUUUUUAACUCAUAAUAUCCUCUCGACACACUGUUUCACAAACUUAAUAAAAAUUUUGGAAGUUCUUUGAAUUUUAUCCCCUUUUCCUUCCCCAAACUUCUAUUGAUGAAGAUACUAUUGAUCAAUAAAACAUUUAAAAGGUCUCUAGUACGUAGGCAAAGAGCCUGUGAAUCUUUUUAAAAAAUGAACAGUUUAGAGUUUAUCUGAAAGAAUUGAGUGUGAAAUACUUGGCAGACAUCAUCAAAUCAACUCAAUGUAAAUAUUUUGUGAAUAACAGUAAGUCUGCUAAAACAAUCUGGAAAAUCUUUAAAAUCUGUCUGACCUAUAUAGCUGUAUACACAGGCAGAUAUCUAAUUCUCCCAGAAUGUUUUUUGGUAUAUUUGUCUUCUGGUCUAUAGCUGCAAAUAACAGAAACCCAAUAUAAACUCUUUAAAGCAGAAGAAGAGAUGUUACUAGUCCAGGGUCCUGAGUUUGUUUUCGGAGCUCUGUCUGUCUCCAUCCUGCUCCUCUUGACUUCUCUUGACAUGUCAUGGCCUCAUUUUUAUCUAUUGUCGAAAGCUUCUUUCUUAUGGUUAGGAAAGACGACCGUAGACAGCUCUAGAUUUCAUUUUUCUUACAACUUGCCACCCUAGAGGGAGGGAGACCCUUUUUUGUCCCACUUCUACAGAGGAAAUCUCAGCAAAGACCCCAUCUGAUCUUGCUUGGGUCGCAGGUCCGUUCCUAAAGGCGCAUGCUGGCCUUCCCCACUGGAGACUGGGAGACAGUGGGGUUAGCCUCAUGGAAGCCACAAACUGUACUCCUUUUAGGAAAGAUGUGUACUGUUACCAGAAGAAAAGCAAAAGGGGGCUGGACAGACAAACUGCAACAGAUGUCCACUAUUUGGCCAUUUUAUUAUUGUUUUUCGUUUUUAUAAGCUGUAAAUUUAGUGGCAAAUUGGUCUUGUCUAUUUAAUGAUUUCUACAUAGAUUUUCAGGUGUAUGAGCAUGUCUGUGCACAUUUUUGUUUUGUCUUGUCUUAAAUAUAUGGUUGUGUUCUUUAAAGGAAAGUUCAGUUUUUACUGGGAAAUGCAUUUCCCUGUGUCCUGAACUCAGAAUGUCCCUGGAGUUUGUCCUCAGCACUGCUUUUGAAGCUCUGAACCAAAAACGAUUUGGUUAAUAACCACAUGAAAAUGGGAAAGAAGGCAAUGGAGAUAUGGUGUGCAAAGGGAGAAAUAAAUCCAUCAUUGGUUCCACAACACUGCUUUUACAAAAGUCCAUAAUGUGGGCAAACUGUUCUUCCCCACGACUGCGAAAGAUUGAGAUACGGGACUAUCAGAAACACGUAAGCAAUCUUAAUGAACUCUAUGCACAUUUUUUAUUUGACCUCAGGACAUUCUGGGACUCUGGGAUUCUGGGAAGGUACAUUUCAUAGGCAGAGCCUUAAUGUGUUAUGGGGGCUUCAGAAAAAGAACUAUCCCAGCAAUGGAGGUAGGAAAGCUCAGAUGGGAGUCUGCAAGUGAUUAUGGGAACUCCUGGAGAACAGCCUGUCCUCUGAGAAAGCUGGCUGCUUUGCCAGACUGGAAGUGGCAAAUGUGAAAUGAAAUGUAGUAGAGACCAAGAAAACCCACGGCAUUUGUCUUGAAAUAAAAUAAUAAUAAUAGAAAUAUCUCUCCCUGAAAAUUCAAGUUAAACUUCAUUUAACUCACAUAAGCAAUUAGAAAACCAGGCUCAACUACAUGUCCUGAAUGUAUUUUUUAACCUCAAAAAGAAAUAUAUGUGGAAUAUAAAAAAUGGCAUAUGUAGCGUGCCCAUGUGGCAGUGAUGGAGGAGCCGUAGGACAAUGGGGACGUGUAGGAAGGCUGGAGAGGUCAUGAUGCUUGUUCGUGACGGCGCCAAAGUGUGAACAAGAACUUAUGCCAGGAACAAAACUUUAGGUUUUGUUAUAAAACAAUGAAAAACUUUUAAAGAAAGGCUGCAAGGGCAAGCCUAAUAGUUUUUUUGAUUUGUUUACAUAUUACAGUUCCCAAACUUUAUGGUAACCUCAGUAGAUUAACAGAAACUCCUUUGAGAAACAGUUCAGAGUACUGGUAGUAAAUCCACAUCAGCCAUUUUCCAUACAAUAGAAGAAAAUGUGGAAAAUAGAGAAAAACAGACAAGAUAUUGAACCAGUGAGAUUGUUCAAAACUCAGUGACAUAAGAUGUCUGUUCAUCAGGAUUUACUUCUGUGCUCGAGGGAAGAAAAAUUGUUCCUCUCCAAUUUAAUUCUGAUGGCUCUGCUCUGGACCCCAUCUCCACUGAACUUCUCUGGAACAUGGCUCCAACAGCUACUCCAUGACAGAGCCUGCUAGGUGCCAACUCAACAUCCAUUUUCCUUAUCUUCCUAAGUAAAAGAGCCAAUUUUAUUCUGGGAGGCAAGGCGCUCUAUUAGAAGACUACAGUUCCUGGUCUAUCUUGAGGUUGGAGAGAGUCAAUGAGAGUAAAUGACAGUCAUGGAGUAGGGUUUCUGGGAAGCAUUUAAAGAGGCUAAAAUACCUGGGAGAUGCCUUCUUGCCCUUCUCCUCUUUGUCUUUUCUCUUGGCUGGAACCUAGAUGUGAUAGUGGGAACUCCUGCAGUCACUUCUGGUGAUUAGGGAAACUUGAAGAUGGAAGCUAUGGUGGUGAUGGAGAAGCAGAAAAACGGAAGGGACCUGGGUCUCUGAUGACCGUGGAGCAGCCGCACUGGCCCUGUCUCUGUCGAUCACUCUGCAGCCCCAGGAUGUACAACCACGUCAGUUAUGUACCAGGUGCUGAUUGACUUUUGCAUGGAUGAGUGCACAAAUGAGGAGCGCUCCCUGGCUUCCUCCCAUCGUCUGCAGCUGAUUCAGCUCUAUCCUGUGUAUAUGGUGAGGCUUUCCUCCCCAGUUCUACCAAACGCUCCUUCAGUUUCACUUUUGAGUCUUUUCUGUUCUGAGGCAGCCUUGACCUUCUCUACUUGACUGUCCUCUGAUCCCUGGAAAACUCUACAUUCCUGGAGUUUUAUUUUCACCUAGAUAGUGUCUAGUUUUAGGAAGAACAAGACUUCUUAGGAAAGGCCACUAUAAUUUGAUUUAUUUCUACAGGGGAGAAAAAAGUUAGGUGCUCUGGUCUUUAAAGCAACUUUCAGUAUACGGAUAGAUUUAUUUUUCAGACAACAGUGUCUGAUUAGUUUUCAUUUUCUGCUAAAGUAAAAAUAAGAGGAAGAAGGAGUUGAAAAUGAACCCAGUUAUUCCACUCCCUCCAGUGGUAGAAGCAUUUCACUGGGCUGUGAUCUUGGGCUUACCCAUGAGCUAUUCUUCAGUGUGGGAGCGAAAGUGAAGCAGCCAAUAUUUCUCAUCCGAACUGGGCACCUUGCUUGCUAGGUUGAUUAUAGGAAACUGGUUUCAUUGGGCAUUUUCAUCAGGAUGUUUCCGAAAUGUUCUUUGAAGUCUGUAGCCAUAAUAAAAGCAUUCGUAUAUUUCUUCAACAAAUUCGUUAAGCUCCUCCUCCGACAUGUGAGUCACUGGGUAAAGUGCAGAGCACAAGGUGGUGAACUAAACACACAUGGUUCUUGCCUCAUGGACCUUCCAGUCUACUGGGAGAGCCGUACACAAGAUAAUCAGGCAUAGCACUUUUUAAUUACAAAUUGUGAUAAAUACUGUCAGAGAAAAGAACAGGCACCAUCAAAGGGGAAAAGCAGGGAAAUGCUUUAUAUGGGUCAUCAGAGGAGGCCUUUGACAUCUGAAUCGAGACUUGAAAGAUGAGAAAAAUUUAGGCAGGAAAAUGGUUGAGGGAAGUGUGUUCUUCACAGAGGGAAGAAUGUCAGUGUGCUUGGCAGGGAGCAGCUUAAGAGCACUCGGGGAGCUCAGGGCUUCCCUGGGGUGCAGAGCGCUGG